CUGAGAUGCGAACUAGAAUGCAAACAUGCGCAAACUACAGAGCCAAAUUUAAAAAUGAAGUAAAACACAUUAGACGCAAUUGAGUGCUCGUGCGAAAGAGGAGGACCUUACGCGCAAUUAUCCCCUCUCUGCAGAAACGCGCGGAUCCUAGGGGCAAAGAAUCAGAUUGGGUCGGGUUGGCUCUACACGACACCAUUUUGGAGCCACUGAAACAGGCUCGAAACGGCGUCGUAUUUGGUUCUUUAUAAGGGCUAAAACCUAAUCAUUUGGCCAAUAACCCUAGCUUCUUCUUUUAUCCUUCAGCUGAACCCUAAAUCACCACUCAAACUGUCGAUUCUCAUCCCCCAAACAACAACCCACAUAUUCAAGCCUGGGGGAUGACUUUUCAGCCUCGAGAUCUCCUCUUAGCUUUGAUUUCAACAAAGCAAAAGGAAAUCUAUGGCGUAUUUACAAGGUAAGACGCUCUUUCUUUUUUCUCCUUUUUUAUUUUUGCUUUCGAAUAUAAAAACAAAAAAUCCAAAAGAAUGAAGCAAAAAAAAAAAAGUAUCCAGAGAUUUGAAUCGAAAAUCACCUUUCGAUUUUGGUGGCCUUUUAUGUAUUUCAGUAUGCGUAAACUUACAAAGUACAUUCGGUGGCUUUUAUAGCCAUAAAAAUCUGAAUUAAAAAUUAUAAAAAAAUCUAUUUUUUUCUUUUUGCUAUUUUUCAUUGUAUUUUGCUGCUUCUCAUGUAUUCUGUUGCAGGCGUGGUUGUACGGAGGAGAAGACCCUGGUGACGUGGAAGCCGUGCGUGAGGAUCUCUCGUGAGAGGCCGAUCCUCUGGUGCUAUUCUAGUAUAUUCCAGAAGUUUUUGGCGUUCUUAGGCUGCUGAGCUACGAGUCCUUUUUGGGUCUCGGGUUUGGGCCAUUGAAGUCGGGUCUAGGGUUUUAAUAGUUGGGUCAGAUUUUAUGUAAUUGGGUCAUGAGUUAUUUUCGACUAAUGGACUUUAUCAUGUUUUGGAUUUUUAUUUUUGUUGGUUUUAUUUUUGGUUUUGAAUUCUUUUAUUGGGCCCGGAGCUUUGUAAAUGGACAUUGGUCUAUUAUUUAUUUUGAUUUUAUUAUUUUUGUUUUAUUUUUGGUUUUUUAAUUUCUGCUUUUUAUAUUCAAAUGGGCCUGGUCGAAAUAGGCCUAUUACAAUAUCAAUCUUCUUAAUUGACAAAUGUAGUCAGG
rnacentral:lncRNA from 1 species